rnacentral:rRNA from 1 species
GACGGAGGGGGCUAGCGUUGUUCGGAAUUACUGGGCGUAAAGCGCGCGUAGGCGGCCGGUCAAGUUAGGCGUGAAAGGCCUGGGCUCAACCUGGGAACGGCGCUUAAGACUGAUCGGCUGGAGUCCGGGAGAGGGUGGUGGAAUUCCCAGUGUAGAGGUGAAAUUCGUAGAUAUUGGGAAGAACACCGAUGGCGAAGGCAGCCAUCUGGACCGACACUGACGCUGAGGCGCGAAAGCGUGGGGAGCAGACAGG